rnacentral:misc_RNA from 1 species
GUGAAUCAUCAAAUUUUUGAACGCAAAUUGCACUCUCUGGUAUUCCGGAGAGUAUGCCUGUUUGAGGGUCAGUUAAAAUAUAAAUCGGUGUGGUUUCUGCGUUGCGUGUUGACGCGCCGGAUGUGGGUUGUCUUGCCUUCGGUUAAGUGACCUAACAUUUUGCAUGAGUGUUUCGAACGUGCUUAAAUGUUGUUACGUACGUUUGCGAUAUCGAAUACUAGGUGUGGUUAUCCUCAUGAGUCGCGCCU